ensembl:miRNA
GUUGGCCGAAACAUUCACUCGGGUUUUUCCAUAGCAUCUUAACAGAAAAACUCGAAUGAAUGUUUUGGCCAAC